GGCGGCGGAAGCGCUACGGCAGCCGCGCGGGGCCACGCGGAAGCGGCCGCCGGCGGCGCGAGCGCGCGCGCAGGGGGGCGGGGGGCGGCGCGGCGGAGCGGAGCGGAGCGGAGCGGGCACCAUGUCGGGCCGAGAGGGUGGCAAGAAGAAGCCGCUGAAGCAGCCGAAGAAGCAGUCGAAGGACCUGGACGAGACAGAUCUGGCAUUUAAACAAAAGCAGAAGGAGGAGCAAAAGAAACUUGAGGAGAUGAAAGCAAAGGCUGCUGGAAAAGGGCCCCUCACCAGUGGUGGAAUAAAAAAGUCUGGCAAAAAGUAGCUUGAUCAAACUGCGGGGUAAGAAGCAAUCGAGUUACUCAAUGGAUCUGCAGACAUCAGAGAGUCAUGGAAAUUCACUAUCAUUUGGGAAACAUUGUACAUUUUGUUUAGUCAGAAUAAAUCUUUUUUGUUAAGAUGUGA